rnacentral:rRNA from 1 species
GAUGAACGCUGGCGGCGUGCCUAACACAUGCAAGUCGAGCGAGAUUAAUGUGAGUGGAGACUUCGGUCAAAGCAAUCAUUAUGAAAGCGGCGGACGGGUGAGUAACGCGUGAGCAAUCUGCCCCAUACAAAGGGAUACCCACUGGAAACGGUGAUUAAUACCUUAUGAGACCACAAAGCCGCAUGGCUUAGGGGUCAAAGAUUUAUCGGUAUGGGAUGAGCUCGCGUCUGAUUAGCUAGUUGGUGAGGUAAUGGCUCACCAAGGCGACGAUCAGUAGCCGACCUGAGAGGGUGAACGGCCACACUGGAACUGAGACACGGUCCAGACUCCUACGGGAGGCUG